rnacentral:rRNA from 1 species
UCAAGUUAUUAAGGGUGCAGGGCGGAUGCCUUGGCACUAGGAGCCGAUGAAGGACGUGAUAAGCUGCGAUAAGCUUCGGGGAGUUGCACGUAAACUUUGAUCCGAAGAUUUCCGAAUGAGGAAACUCACUUAGAGUAAUGUCUAAGUAUCAUUAAGUGAAUACAUAGCUUAAUGAGGGGAACUCAGGGAACUGAAACAUCUAAGUACCUGAAGGAAGAGAAAGAAAUUCGAUUCCGUAAGUAGCGGCGAGCGAACGCGGAUUAGCCCAAACCAAUAAAGUUUUCUUUAUUGGGGUUGCGGACAUAUCAUAACGAAGAGGUAUCGUAAUUGAAGAGGUUUGGAAAGACCCACCACAGAAGGUAAUAGUCCUGUAUGUUAAACGAGAAGACUUCAGAUAUGAUCCAGAGUACCACGGGACACGUGAAACCCUGUGGGAAGCAGGAGGGACCACCCUCCAAGGCUAAAUACUACCUAGUGACCGAUAGCGUAUAGUACCGUGAGGGAAAGGUGAAAAGAACCCCGGGAGGGGAGUGAAAUAGAACCUGAAACCCUGCACUUACAAGCUGUGGAAGCACAUUUCUUGUGUGACCGCGUACUUUUUGUAGAACGGGCCAACGAGUUACGUUAAGUAGCAAGGUUAAGCACUUAAGGUGCGGAGCCGUAGCGAAAGCGAGUUUUAACUGAGCGUUCAGUUACUUGACGUAGACCCGAAACCGGGCGACCUACCCAUGAGCAGGAUGAAGCGAAAGUAAAAUUUCGUGGAGGUCCGAACCCACGAGCGUUGAAAAGCUCGGGAUGACUUGUGGGUAGCGGUGAAAUUCCAAUCGAGCCCGGAGAUAGCUGGUUCUCCCCGAAAUAGCUUUAGGGCUAGCCUCAAGGUGAGAGAUACGGAGGUAGAGCACUGAAUGUCCUAGGGGGUAUUGCACCUACCGAAGACUAUCAAACUCCGAAUGCCGUCAUCUUAUACUUGGGAGUCAGACUGUGGGUGAUAAGAUUCAUAGUCAAAAGGGCAACAGCCCAGAUCGUCAGCUAAGGUCCCUAAAUGUAAGUUAAGUGGUAAAGGAUGUGGGAUUGCACAGACAACCAGGAUGUUGGCUUAGAAGCAGCCACUCAUUCAAAGAGUGCGUAAUAGCUCACUGGUCGAGUGAUCCUGCGCCGAAGAUUUCCGGGGCUAAAACUUACUACCGAAGCUACGGCAUCAUUAUGAUGGGUAGGGGAGCUUCCCAUACGGGUUGAAGCAUGACCGUAAGGACAUGUGGACAGUAUGGGAGUGAGAAUGUUGGCAUGAGUAGCGAGAUGUGGGUGAGAAUCCCACAGGCCGUAAACCCAAGGUUUCCAGGGGAAGGUUCGUCCGCCCUGGGUUAGUCGGGACCUAAGCUGAGGCCGAAAGGCGUAGGUGAUGGACAACAGGUUGAUAUUCCUGUACUACCGAUAACCGUUUGAGAGAAGGGAUGACACAGUAGGAUAAGCUAAGCACACUGUUGGUUAUGUGUGCCCAAGCAUUGAGGCAGUCAAAGUAGGCAAAUCCGCUUUGAUAAUGCUGGGAUGUGAUGGGGAGCGAAAUUUAGUAGCGAAGUAGCUGAUUUCACACUGUCAAGAAAAGUCUCUAUCGAGGUUAAAGGUACCCGUACCGCAAACCGACACAGGUGGGUGAGGAGAGUAUCCUAAGGCCAGCGAGAGAACUGUUGUUAAGGAACUCGGCAAAAUGACCCCGUAACUUAGGGAUAAGGGGUGCCACCAUCCGGUGGCCGCAGAGAAUAGGCCCAAGCGACUGUUUACCAAAAACAUAGGUUUCUGCUAAGUCGCAAGACGAUGUAUAGGAGCUGACGCCUGCCCGGUGCUGGAAGGUUAAGGGGAUCUGUUAGAGCAAUCGAAGCAGUGAACUUAAGCCCCAGUAAACGGCGGCCGUAACUAUAACGGUCCUAAGGUAGCGAAAUUCCUUGUCGGGUAAGUUCCGACCCGCACGAAAGGCGUAACGAUUUGGGCACUGUCUCAACAACAGACUCGGUGAAAUUGUAAUUCCGGUGAAGAUGCCGGAUACCUGCGACAGGACGGAAAGACCCCAUGGAGCUUUACUGUAGCUUGACAUUGGGUCUUGGUACUACAUGUACAGGAUAGGUGGGAGGCUUUGAAACCAGGACGCCAGUUUUGGCGGAGCCAUCCUUGGGAUACCACCCUUGUAGUACUGGGACUCUAACCAUAGGCCAUGAAUCUGGUCUUGGGACACUGUCAGGUGGGCAGUUUGACUGGGGCGGUCGCCUCCCAAAAGGUAACGGAGGCGCUCAAAGGUUCUCUCAGUACGGUCGGAAAUCGUACGUAGAGUGUAAAGGCAAAAGAGAGCUUGAUUGCAAGACAUACAGGUCGAGCAAGGAUGAAAAUCGGACUUUAGUGAUCCGGUGGUUCUGCGUGGAAGGGCCAUCGCUCAACGGAUAAAAGCUACCCUGGGGAUAACAGGCUUAUCUCCCCCAAGAGUCCACAUCGACGGGGAGGUUUGGCACCUCGAUGUCGGCUCAUCACAUCCUGGGGCUGUAGUAGGUCCCAAGGGUUGGGCUGUUCGCCCAUUAAAGUGGUACGCGAGCUGGGUUCAGAACGUCGUGAGACAGUUCGGUCCCUAUCCGUCGCAGGCGUAGGAAAUUUGAGAAGACCUGUCCUUAGUACGAGAGGACCGGGAUGGACGUACCUCUGGUGUACCAGUUGUUCUGCCAAGGGCAUGGCUGGGUAGCUAUGUACGGAAUGGAUAAGCGCUGAAAGCAUCUAAGCGCGAAGCCAACUUCAAGAUAAGAUUUCCCACCGCAAGGGUAAGACCCCAGAAAGACUAUCUGGUUGAUAGGUCGAAGGUGUAAGUGCAGCAAUGUAUUUAGCUUAUCGAUACUAAUAGGUCGAGGACUUGACCAA